UUUGUUCUGCCAAAGCCUGGGGAGGUGGAGUUGGCUGCUGGGAGGUAGAAUCCUGUGCCUGCCUCUUGGCGUCCCAGGGAUGGCUACUUGCAGCCCAGGAGAAGAGGGAUUCUGGGCCAACUCCUUUGCAG